CUGAAACCGUGUACGUACAAGCAGUGGGAGCCUCUUUAUGGGGUGACUGCGUACCUUUUGUAUAAUGGGUCAGCGACUUAUAUUCUGUAGCAAGGUUAACCGAAUAGGGGAGCCGAAGGGAAACCGAGUCUUAACUGGGCGUUAAGUUGCAGGGUAUAGACCCGAAACCCGGUGAUCUAGCCAUGGGCAGGUUGAAGGUUGGGUAACACUAACUGGAGGACCGAACCGACUAAUGUUGAAAAAUUAGCGGAUGACUUGUGGCUGGGGGUGAAAGGCCAAUCAAACCGGGAGAUAGCUGGUUCUCCCCGAAAGCU
rnacentral:rRNA from 1 species